rnacentral:lncRNA from 1 species
GGCGCUCUCGCAGGCCCCGAGGCCGACAGUCCCGGCGAGGGCGGGCGCCCCGCGCUCCAGCACCGGCUGCCUGAGCGCUCCUGGAGCAGCAAACCCCAGACUUCUUCCUCCUUCUCUCCUUCCUUCCUUCCCCCUCCCCUUAUCUUUUUCUUUUUUUAGUCUCUUUCUCCCUCUUUUUCUGCCCUGUGUCCUUUUUAUUUUUUCUCUACGACUGUUUUUGCAAGUUUGUUUCAAAAGUUCACAGCAUGCUUUCUUUUCUUUUAGACCGGGAGACAGUGAUCUCACCCACACGGUAAGAUCAAAAGUCUCCGCUCGCCCAGCCUGCGGGCUUGGGCUGGGUCCAGACGUCUCCCAGGAUGCAGAUGCGCCGCCGCUGGCCUCCCCGGCUAUAAAGCCGCCUCCAGCGCCUUUCCGCGCGCAGGAGCGCUCGGAGUUGUGGGGUACGGACCCCAGGCGGGGCAGGGAGUCCGAGGCGGGCUGCGGCGGGGCUCUCGGGCUGGCGGACUCGGGGGCUGAGGCGCCGUGCGCGUUGGGUGCCCGCGGCCGCAGAGGCCAGAACCGCUACUCCUCCAGGCCGGGGAGACGCGGCCGUGGAGCGUGAAACGCUUCUUGCAAGCGAGGAAACGGUCAGCAGUUCUAGAAGAAUCUUUCUGGACAAAAGACCUGGAGUUGGCACUUUUGGCUGCCACUCAACAUUGAAUGGCCUCUAGCUGUGACCCAUCUUGGGACAAGAAAAUAAACUCUCCUAGGUUUGUUCUAGUGCCUGAAGAGAACAGGUUGCAGUAUCUCCAACUGCAAAGCAGGUGCGUGGAGCCACAUUCCUUCUGUUGAGCAAAGCCCUUCAGAGGGGCCCACGGGCAGGUGAGUCCUCCUCCCUUAACACAAUAUCACAGACAGUCCAGCCUCCAAGCCUCAAAGGGCAGAGCAAAAGGGCCAAAGAGGAGAUGGCAGGCACAGCCUGGACUGUCUGAGAUUUCAGAUCCGCAGAGGAAAAGUUGGCAAGCGUCGGGACCAACAUUCUUCUACCAUUAACACUCACCUAGGAAUAAUAUCUAUAUUUUGGGCUGGCACUUCAGGUUUACUGUCUCGUAUAAUCUCAACAACCUGGGAGGUAGAUGCAUUCAUAUUCUUAUUUUGCAGAUGAGGCAAUUGAUCCUCCGACAGGUUGAGGAGCACCUGCAAGGUCUCAGACAGGUGGUAAGUAUCAGAAAGAGAGGGUUUAAAUGCAGAUUCGGUCUGAUUCUGCAGGAGAUCUCAUACCUGAACAGGUGAGUCAUCGUCACGUUUCAGGAGCAACCACCAGGGCAUGCUGAACUUCCUAAGGCAGUAGGGUGACCAGCUGCCUUGGUUUGCCGGAGACUGGGGGUUUCCCAGGACACAAGACUUGCAAUGCUAAAACUGGGAAAGUUCUGGACAGACUGGGACAAGCUGGUUCCCUUAUCUGGAAGUGAGAAUAAAACAUAAGCUACUAAGAGUGCUGUGACUUUAAACUGUAAAAUCAAAAUAAGUAGCAAACCAGUGGUUUGUGGGUAGGAUGUGAGUCUCUGGCGAGUUUCUUUUUAACUGCAUGGAGUUCCUAAGGCAUUUUACACAGAUUGCAUUUGAAAUGCCAGAGUUGUUGCAUAGAAAGUUGGACCUCGGGCUUUCAAAAAAUAGAAAGAGCAGGUCUUGGAAGGCUACAGUCCCAGCAAGGGUGAUGGCUCCUUUCGUAAUUCUCAGUUCCUGCUGGCCAACCUUAUUCAUUAGACCAUGGGCUUGGCUCUUGGAGACAGUCAAUGUUUUCCGUAGAGAAUAUUACCCCGCAGUGGCCAGGAAGCAAAUGCCAAUAGAUCUCCAAAAUAUUUGAUCAUACCAAUGGAUUGCCUAGAAUAUCCUGUGGUCUUUCUGUUGCCUUUGAGAGAACGUCAUGGAAUACCAGGUGGGGGUGGGGCAGGUGAGCUCAGGGUAGCAAGGAUUCUGACAUAGCAAAGGGAAAUUCUGUAUGGGACAGACUCAAAGGUCCCAGAUGCCCUCUCAAAUGAAGAUGGCAAUAUUCCAAAUAUUCAUUGAUCCAUAAGCAUCUCACGGCAGGUAUAAGAUCUGGGAGAACUCAUCUUAUUCCAUCCCCAGGAAACAAACAUCCCUUCUUGGGCAAUGUCUCCAGGCCACGCUUCUCAUCCGCAGAGCAGGUGCCUGUUCUCCCCGGGCCAUCUGACAGGGGAGAUAGAAAAUCUGCAAGAGAAAGCUCACAGCACGGGGCUGAGCCCUGGAGGGGAAGCACAGAGGCCUGUAUUCUAAUUCACUGAUGAUCAAUUUGCAAGUUCUUUUUCUCUUAGUUCCCUUAGUUUCCUUCCAGGUAAUGCAGAAUUCCUUGAAGCUUCUCUAGGUUGUUUUACUUUGCAAUCUUUGGUCAGAAGGUCUUUCUCAUGUUAACAGGUGAGUUAAGGUAAGAGCCCCAGACUCCUGGGCUUCCCCCAGCCCACUCCAUGAUCCCAAAAGAGAUUCCACUGGGGGAUACAGUUUGAAUCACCUGAACUAGACAAUUAUUACAGCUUCUCUUCCAGGUUGAAUAUUUCAGGGUCCCUUGCCAAACAGGGGAAGAUCUUGUUAAACCAAAAUCCCAAAUAGAUUUCAAAUAUGCUGGAAGUUUACAUGACCCUAAAGACUGCUCUCCAUGAGAGACUCAGGGGCUGGGGUAGUACCUUCUAAAUUUCCAUGGGAAAAUGAACAUGCUCCAGCAAGAGCUUGGGAAAAGAAGAUAGUCCCUAAGUUUUAUUGUUUGAAAUUUGUCACUCAAGGAUGUGAACGUGUCGCUGACAAUUAUGUAGCAUCUCAGAGCUCAGAAAGCACUUUUGCAUCGAUUAUUUCAUUUCUUGUUCGUGCCAAUUGUGUGAGGUGGACAACGUUAUGUUCAUAUGAGAAAUGCAGCCCAGAGAGGCUCAAACCCAGCACUUUUAACUCCCAAUCUCCCUCUUUUCUCAGUACCAUGUGGUAAGUCUUUAUUAACCAGAGUGUCCAAUUAACCAGAACAUGCCUGUGUCUUAGGGAUCAUCCCAGACUGAUUUUCUUUGCAGAAAACCCCAGGGAGCCACAGCCUUUCCUGCACCUCCUUUUGUUAGCUGUAUGUUUUUUUAGCGGCCCAGUGAGGCCUGCAUUUCAGAGCCUGUGUUGCAAAGCUCAUUGCUGUGGAGGAGACGGUUAUGGGCUGGGGCCUGGGUCUUCCGCCCCUUCCUGGCAGACCAGGAGCUUCAGUUGCUCUCUGUGAAGUUCUUCUUUGCAGGAGCCUGACACAGACGACAGCCCCAGGUAAUCCCUAUUCUUCAAGACCAAGCCAGGGAAAAUCUUCCAGAUGUUCUUGCUACUCACCCCGACCUUGCGGUCUUACCCUUCUGGCUGAACAAGAGACAAACAGCUCCUCUCCACUUGGCUGUGUGCGGCUUAACGAAUGCGUAUGAAGACCGUAUAAAUAAUUCACAUCACUCAAGAGGUGGCGAGCUGAACAAGUCCCUUCUGGUUACAUUUAUUUCAAGAUAAGGUGAAACUAAGUGAGUGAUGGCCCAGUUACAGAGGCCAGGGUCCAAAGGGGAUUGGGACACUCUAAGUUACACCACCAGAGUGAUUUGUGCAGAACUGUGUCAACUUAGAGAUCCUGGCACCUUGGGGGAAAGGGAAAUGUCUUAUCUCUAAGAAAAGUGAUACAGGAUGAGUAUUUUCCAAGUACAGCCUAUAAGCUAAUUCUGCAGAAUCAAUUUGGCUCUGCCAGGAACCAAGUUUCUGCUUUAAUCUAAGAGGAACUCUGAAUUAGUAACCUUGCACAUGUUGUCUUCCCUUGGAAAUGUCACUAAGGGACUCUUCGAAGCAUGGGUGUGGGUCCUUGGUGUAGGUCCUCUAGGUGCAUGAGGUGGCACUUUCCAGAAGCAUGGGUGAACCUCCCAAGGGAGUCCAGAGUCUUUUAUUGGAAUCAAUGGAUGAGAAAAAUAUUGUUUUGCAACUUGAGUGAAUGUGGCCUCCAUGAUCAAAACCUGGACUAGAAAAGCCUGUGGAGUGGCCCUAGAACAGGGCAAGGUAGAGAGGAGAGUUUUCUCCUGCUGUGAAUUUACCACUCAUUCCUGUAUUGUAGCCACAUGCUUUAAUUUUUUUUCUUCUCCCUUUUCCCACAGUGCCCCCUAAAUAUUUCCACUGAAGACUUUUAGAACUUUGGAAUAAGGAAAUUGUAUCUCCAGCUGACAAUAAAAUUUACGAAGCAAAGAAUGCCUCCGUUAAUACUUUCCAAACGUCUUUGUUUUUGAACGAGCAAGAUGCUGAGAACCUUCCAAUUCAGUAACCCUGCCUCUGACAGGCAGCAGAACAGUUAGCAAGGUUGACAGAUAGAUGCAGCCACACGAUGCAAUAAUCCUUGCUGCACUGAACUUUGUAUUUAAACACUUAUUUUAUGUUUAAUUAAUUUCUCCAAAGAGGAAAACUUCCAGGCUGCCUUUGAAGCCGGCUGUUUGUUUAAGAUAUUUUGUUUUAAGAAUAAGAGAAAAAAAGGAAGGAAGGAAACGGAGGGAAAAUGUUUAUGUUUUUCCUGUUGUUUUUUCAAAUAUGAUGUGACAUUGUGAAAAGGCCUCCUGAAAGUGCAAUUUUUUGUUUGUGAUGGAAGAGAGAUGCACCUAUGAGUCUUACAUCAUCAAAGAAACAGACGCUUAUCUAUAAUUUAUGCUUUGCUUUAAGCUUCUGCUGAUCUGAUGUGGCUUUUUUAAGACAACACAGGCAGCCCUGGCAUCACUUGUCAAUCAUCGGGGCAUGCUCAAAUCGUAGACCAUUAGCAGGAGGGACGGCAGAGUUUCUUUAAUGACGCUUUUAUACGGGGCAUCCUGGCAGUGAAACAGAGAGGGUUUGAUUUGAUCAAUGCAUUAGCCUAAUCACAGCGUUCCUGCUCUUAAUUUCUUUUGUCGGCAAUUUCCAUACAUGGGUUGCGUUCAGGGUUCUGGCAAAAACCCGUUCAGAACUCCGUGUGACAUGUGCAGUCACCUUGCCCGGAUUUCUCUCGGUGGGAAGCGACGUCUGCAAGAGAGGGGACGGCGGCUGGGCUGGAUGGCUGCCUUUGAGUCCGUCCUGCGGUGAGGCUGGGGAAGGCCCAUUCCACGCGAGCCUUGGCUUCAGCCCUGAGGUGCCUGCCAGCCCCCGUGGCAGACCCCGGCCCUGCCAAUUUCAGCCCCCUUGGUGAUUCUGUUCCAGCGCUCGCCAAAAGCAGAAUCCGUGUAUAAUGAACAAGUUUCAUGUUCAACAUUUUAAGUGUCUAUUUAUGAGUCCCAGUAAUUAGCCCUUUGUCUGCAAUUCUGGCGAUGAUGAUUAGAAUUCCAUCUCACGUUAUGAAUGCUGCUCCCCAAACUUGUCCUUCUCGCCUGGAGAAUCCCAAGCAGGUGGGCACCUGAAAGGCAAAGAAAGGGGGCGAUUUGGGGAGUGGCCGGUCUCUUCUUUUACCAGCCCUCCAGCAGCCUCCUUCCUUUGAUCCCAUUCUUCCCUGGCUGUAUGUAAUUUCAGACUUCUCAGAAUCCAUUUUCCUGGCUUUUGUUCUGAAACUUGUUUUCUUCUCAUCCUCCACUGUCAUCCCCAAAGGGUGCAUUUUUUUAUAUCAUGCCCUACACAUGAUAUUUGUACCUUUUGCAAAAUCUUGUCAGGAUGCUAUGAGGUUUGAGAGUCUUUCCAAACGAAUCAUUCUCAGAAUCAAAAUAUUAUGAAGGAGGCCAAAUUAUCUCUAAUUAUAACCUCCAGAAAAGUGGAGAACUUUUUCAACAAACAGAACAGGGUGUUUUCAACAGGGUGUAAUUCUGCUUUUGUGAAACGGGCAGGAGGCUGUCUU